ensembl:lncRNA
UCUCAAUGCUGGAGAGCGUUUGUGAUGCUGAAGCAGUGAUCAGUUUUUCUGUUUCUUCUCUGGAGAUGCACAAUGAGGGACGUCUGCAGCGACUGAGAAAGAGUCUCACCACAUCCUUACAUGAGGAAGAAGACUUUAUUGAAGACUACAAUGAGAAAAACUAUCAGACAGCAGAUGGCUGCAUUCAAGAGAAGAAGACCAUCAAACAUCCACGUCAGCUGAUGGAGGUCCAAGAGUCUCACCAAACAAACAACCUACAGAGUGAAGACCUCAAAUCUGAUUGGACGGCCUCCUAUUCAGCCACGUGUGAACAAAUGCCUCUAAGUUGAUUUGUUUUCUAAAAUAAAUCUAGUUUGAGUCCUA